rnacentral:rRNA from 1 species
ACAGGGGAUGCAAGUGUUAUCCGGAAUUAUUGGGCGUAAAGCGUCUGCAGGUUGAUAUUUAAGUCUUUUGUUAAACCUCCGGGCUCAACCCGGAAUCUGCAAAGGAAACUAUAUAUCUUGAGUAUGGUAGGGGUAAAGGGAAUUUCCAGUGGAGCGGUGAAAUGCGUAGAUAUUGGAAAGAACACCAACAGCGAAGGCACUUUACUGGGCCAGUACUGACACUCAGAGACGAAAGCUAGGGGAGCAAACAGGAUUAGAUACCCUGGUAGUCCUAGCUGUAAACGAUGGAUACUAGAUGUUGUGUACCUUUGGGUAUGCAGUGUCGUAGCUAACGCGUUAAGUAUCCCGCCUGGGAAGUAUGCUCGCAAGAGUG